rnacentral:rRNA from 1 species
ACAUGCAAGUCGAACGAGGACCUUCGGGUCUAGUGGCGCACGGGUGCGUAACGCGUGGGAAUCUGCCCUUGGGUUCGGAAUAACUCGGAGAAAUUCGAGCUAAUACCGGAUAAUGACGUAAGUCCAAAGAUUUAUCGCCCAGGGAUGAGCCCGCGUAAGAUUAGCUAGUUGGUGGGGUAAAGGCCUACCAAGGCGACGAUCUUUAGCUGGUCUGAGAGGAUGAUCAGCCACACUGGGACUGAGACACGGCCCAGACUCCUACGGGAGGCAGCAGUGGGGAAUAUUGGACAAUGGGCGAAAGCCUGAUCCAGCAAUGCCGCGUGAGUGAUGAAGGCCUUAGGGUUGUAAAGCUCUUUUACCCGGGAUGAUAAUGACAGUACCGGGAGAAUAAGCCCCGGCUAACUCCGUGCCAGCAGCCGCGGUAAUACGGAGGGGGCUAGCGUUGUUCGGAAUUACUGGGCGUAAAGCGCACGUAGGCGGCUGUUCAAGUCAGAGGUGAAAGCCCGGAGCUCAACUCCGGAACUGCCUUUGAAACUAGACAGCUCGAAUCAUGGAGAGGCGAGUGGAAUUCCGAGUGUAGAGGUGAAAUUCGUAGAUAUUCGGAAGAACACCAGUGGCGAAGGCGGCUCGCUGGACAUGUAUUGACGCUGAGGUGCGAAAGCGUGGG